rnacentral:tRNA from 1 species
GCCUUCAUGCUGCAGUUGGAAAGCACAUCUGGCUAACAAUCAGAAAGUCCAGAGUUUGAGUCUUGGCAAGGGCA